AGUGAACGCUGGCGGUAGGCCUAACACAUGCAAGUCGAACGGCAGCACAGUAAGAGCUUGCUCUUACGGGUGGCGAGUGGCGGACGGGUGAGGAAUACAUCGGAAUCUACUUUUUCGUGGGGGAUAACGUAGGGAAACUUACGCUAAUACCGCAUACGACCUACGGGUGAAAGCAGGGGAUCUUCGGACCUUGCGCGAUUGAAUGAGCCGAUGUCGGAUUGGCUAGUUGGCGGGGUAAAGGCCCACCAAGGCGACGAUCCGUAGCCGGUCUGAGAGGAUGAUCAGCCACACUGGAACUGAGACACGGUCCAGACUCCUACGGGAGGCAGCAGUGGGGAAUAUUGGACAAUGGGCGCAAGCCUGAUCCAGCCAUACCGCGUGUGUGAAGAAGGCCUUCGGGUUGUAAAGCCCUUUUGUUGGGAAAGAAAAGCAGCAGGUUAAUACCCCGCUGUUCUGACGGUACCCAAAGAAUAAGCACCGGCUAACUUCGUG
rnacentral:rRNA from 1 species